GCAUGACAGGGAGCGGACUUCAAUGAAUAUCACAUGCCCUAAUGUCCUUUUGAGACCUCGUAUUUCUGAGGAAGGAUGUCAACGACAACCAAUAGCCACAUGGGUCAGCAUCAUCUAAUGUUGAUAUCUGGACGUCGCGAAUCCCAUGCGACACAGAUGGACAACAAUAUAUUACUCAUUGACGACACAUCAAACGUUCCUGAAAUACAACCUAGACGAAGUGAGUCGGAUGGCAUGGAAUGGAUCAGCACCAUCGAUGUUGAUAUCUUGACGUCGCAAAUCAUACACGUUACAGGCAAAGACUACAACCAACAAUAUAUGGACGCUGAAUUGCCCAUUGUAGAUAUGUAACAGUGUCAUUAUUUAAUGACAUUUGGGUAUUAUUUAGAUUUAUCCAUUUUUGUACUACUGUGCAUGUACAGGCUCCGUAUUUAUCAUAUGUAUAUGUGUACGCAGUUGUAUCGUAUGCUAUUUAUAUAUAUAUGUAAACCUGUUUAACAGGUCAGAGUUAUUUUUAUAGUAGAGUGACCAUGGGUCAAUGCGCACCCGCGCUUUUUAGGGUAGCGUCACUCCCGUACUAGGCACCGUUGUGAGUGGACGUGUAUAUGUUGCGUCUAUAUAUUUAGCGCAUCCGUGUUGUACCAAUCUACAUCACUCAUUUAUAUGCGCUGUAAUAUUGUACGGGUUGUCUCCCCGGGAGUCGAGCCCUCUUCGUCAAAUGAAGAGGUAGGUUUUUUAUAUGGCUCCAUUUAUAUUGUGUUGGUAGCAUCAUUUUUAAGAAUAUCCAUGUACAUGAGAAAUUGUCAUUGUUUGUAUAAGCGUUACGCACUUGGUACUUUGUCAGAUCUGUAAUGUGCAUAGUUCAGUAGUAGUUGUAACGUUUAUGAUUACGCCUGGGUUAGUAGGUGUUCUUGAAUCUUAGGUUCUAAGCGUUAUGCUUCCGGUUGCGUCAGGUGCGUACACCUGUCGUGUUAUUGUGGGAUGGAUUAUUCCACUUUGAGAUUGUAACUAUUUUACUUAUUGUUGUUAUUUGUUAUUUUAGGGUGUUUUAUGGACUAAUAAACUAUGAAUUGGAA